ACUCCUACGGGAGGCAGCAGUAGGGAAUCUUCGGCAAUGGGGGCAACCCUGACCGAGCAACGCCGCGUGAGUGAAGAAGGUUUUCGGAUCGUAAAACUCUGUUGUUAGAGAAGAACGUUAAGUAGAGUGGAAAAUUACUUAAGUGACGGUAUCUAACCAGAAAGGGACGGCUAACUACGUGCCAGCAGCCGCGGUAAUACGUAGGUCCAAGCGUUGUCCGGAUUAUUGGGCGUAAAGCGAGCGCAGGUGGUUUCUUAAGUCUGAUGUAAAAGGCAGUGGCUCAACCAUUGUGUGCAUUGGAAACUGGGAGACUUGAGUGCAGGAGAGGAGAGUGGAAUUCCAUGUGUAGCGGUGAAAUGCGUAGAUAUAUGGAGGAACACCGGAGGCGAAAGCGGCUCUCUGGCCUGUAACUGACACUGAGGCUCGAAAGCGUGGGGAGCAAACAGGAUUAGAUACCCUGGUAGGUCAGUC
rnacentral:rRNA from 1 species